rnacentral:rRNA from 1 species
UACGGAGGAUGCAAGUGUUAUCCGGAAUCACUGGGCGUAAAGCGUCUGUAGGUGGUCAAAUAAGUCGACUGUUAAAUCUUGAGGCUCAACCUCAAAAUCGCAGUCGAAACUAUUCGACUAGAGUAUAGUAGGGGUAAAGGGAAUUUCCAGUGGAGCGGUGAAAUGCGUAGAGAUUGGAAAGAACACCGAUGGCGAAGGCACUUUACUGGGCUAUUACUAACAUUGAGAGACGAAAGCUAGGGUAGCAAAUGGG